AGCUGUUUGGAUGGAUUCUAUAAAGGUUCUGGGUGACACUCUUCUGGUACAGUGGUCCCUACUCUUAGAUCGUGAGGUCUGGUUUCAAGCCCCACCAGCUCCAGCGUUGAUACCACAAAAUCAGCAGUCUUCAGGAGAACAAUGGAGGUAUGAUGGAUUAUAGGAUAUUCCGAUGUGAUGUUCCACACAGCAGUUUUAUUUAGUUCUCGCUCAAACUUACCAGAUAAAGAGAGCUCUUUGGUAGGAAAGCAGCUUCGAUGGGUUCCAGAGUGACAGUACGACUAUUCGAGUCGGUCGGCCUGUGAAGCCUGGAAUGGGACUCUCGCUCCUGCAUGGAGUGGGCCUCUGGCAGCAGAAUGGCAUGGGCUGGUGAAGCCUGAAGCGGGACUGGAAGCAGCAGAGAAGGAAAAGUUGGACUCUCUUUAAGUUAUCUUUCGUUUUCUAAUUUUAAGUUCAUGAGAAUGGCGCCUAUGUAUGUCAACGGUAUACACUUUUCACUGCAUUUUAUUCUGAAGACGUGAUGAUAAAUGAAUCAAAUUCGAAUUCAAAAUUCACAUAAAAAUAGAUAAAUUUAUUAUUAAAAAGAUAAGCAGGAAAAUGAAACAUCAAGCUAGUGUGGGAUUCUUUUCAGAUUGGGAUCAGGUAAUUUUAGACAAAGAGAAUAAAGGCAAUUUGAGCUACAUCGAAGAGUUGAUAUGUUGACUUCCUGUGAAGAACCUUGCUCACCAGUAACACACAUCAGAAAUAUAAUCUGGCAAUGAGGGCUGUCAAUAAGAAGGAACUACCAAUUUUAAAUUUUCACUGAAGACAUAACAAUGGGGAAAAAGUUCUUCACUUAAAGAUUGGGUCUGUGCAGGAUGCUCUUCGGAGGGUCACUGUGGACUCGAUGGGCCAAAUGGCCUGCUCCUACACUGUAUGGAUUAUAUAACCCAAUAAUAAUCUGUAUUGAUUGGCACAUCCUUUGUCACAGUAAGUGAUUGUGACAGGUCACAUUGUGUGUUCUGAUAUAAAAAUUUGAUAAGCAAAUAAACAGAUGAAGUUGCUAACCUAUGGGACAGGAGCACGGCAAUAAUAUUCAUUUUGGAUUGCUGUAGCAAAAAGGUGGCUAAACCAGAAUCGGCCAAAUUCUCAACAUCUUUUUGUGCAUCUACUACUGAUCUGUUAUACUACGACUAUACCACUAGUGCAUUCAGAUGCUUAUUUUUUGUAAUCACAAAGAAUGCUGUAUUUGUUUACUUGAAGUUAACCACUCUACUCAGCAAAUAUGUACUUUGUACUUACGGCUUACAUAUCAGAUACCAUUGAGUUAUCUAGCCUUGUCACUUAUUGUGCAUCAUUUACUCACUAUCAAACAAUGGAGGUUCCUUUGAUGUUUUUGCAAUGUUGGUGUAUUUAGUCAGACUAAACACAGUCUGAAAGCUAUUUUUGCUUAAUAUGGUGCCUGAUUGUCACAUUGCUACAAUACCAACAUUUAUACUUUUUUUUCUCUUCAACAGAUCUGAUCACACCAACCAUCCCAAUUUUGUGUCUCUGGGUUUCAAAGACAGGCAUCAGACUUAUAGAUUUCAUUAAAUGUACCACUUGCAUUCCUCGGUUUCCCAAGUACACUAAUGGCACUCAACUCCACCUCACCACCUUUUUUGAUCCUUCCACCAUUUCUUAUUUGUUAUGUCUGUCCAAUAUCCAGUAGUAGAUUUAUGUGUGUGCCUCAGUUAAUGCAGUUCUACCUGACAUAGCAAUGCUUAUAUUAUCCCCAAUAACACAAGAAACUUUAUGUGGUUGUUGUGAU